GACGAACGCUGGCGGCGUGCUUAACACAUGCAAGUCGAACGGAAAGGCCCUGCUUUCGUGGGGUGCUCGAGUGGCGAACGGGUGAGUAACACGUGAGUAACCUGCCCUUGACUUUGGGAUAACUUCAGGAAACUGGGGCUAAUACCGGAUAGGAGCUCCUGCUGCAUGGUGGGGGUUGGAAAGUUUCGGCGGUUGGGGAUGGACUCGCGGCUUAUCAGCUUGUUGGUGGGGUAGUGGCUUACCAAGGCUUUGACGGGUAGCCGGCCUGAGAGGGUGACCGGCCACAUUGGGACUGAGAUACGGCCCAGACUCCUACGGGAGGCAGCAGUGGGGAAUAUUGCACAAUGGGCGGAAGCCUGAUGCAGAAACGCCGCGUGCGGGAUGACGGCCUUCGGGUUGUAAACCGCUUUCGCCUGUGACGAAGCGUGAGUGACGGUAAUGGGUAAAGAAGCACCGGCUAACUACGUG
rnacentral:rRNA from 1 species